rnacentral:rRNA from 1 species
CCUACGGGAGGCUGCAGUGGGGGAUAUUGCACAAUGGGCGGAAGCCUGAUGCAGCGACGUCGCGUGAGGGAUGGAGGCCUUCGGGUUGUGAACCUCUUUCGCCGGUGAAGAAGGUCCUGCUUUUUGGGUGGGGUUGACGGUAGCCGGGUUAUGAAGCGCCGGCUAACUACGUGCCAGCAGCCGCGGUAAUACGUAGGGCGCGAGCGUUGUCCGGAAUUAUUGGGCGUAAAGGGCUUGUAGGCGGCUGGUCGCGUCUGUCGUGAAAUCCUCUGGCUCAGCUGGGGGCGUGCGGUGGGUACGGGCUGGCUUGAGUGCGGUAGGGGAGGCUGGAACUCCUGGUGUAGCGGUGGAAUGCGCAGAUAUCAGGAGGAACACCGGUGGCGAAGGCGGGUCUCUGGGCCGUUACUGACGCUGAGGAGCGAAAGCGUGGGGAGCGAACAGGAUUAGAUACCCGAGUAGUC